rnacentral:rRNA from 1 species
GGUGCGAAAGCAGGUCAUAGUGAUCCGGUGGUUCUGAAUGGAAGGGCCAUCGCUCAACGGAUAAAAGGUACUCCGGGGAUAACAGGCUGAUACCGCCCAAGAGUUCAUAUCGACGGCGGUGUUUGGCACCUCGAUGUCGGCUCAUCACAUCCUGGGGCUGAAGUAGGUCCCAAGGGUAUGGCUGUUCGCCAUUUAAAGUGGUACGCGAGCUGGGUUUAGAACGUCGUGAGACAGUUCGGUCCCUAUCUGCCGUGGGCGCUGGAGAACUGAGGGGGGC